rnacentral:rRNA from 1 species
GUGAACGCUGGCGGUAGGCCUAACCCAUGCCAGUCGAACGGCAGCACAGUAAGAGCUUGCUCUUACGGGUGGCGAGUGGCGGACGGGUGAGGAAUACAUCGGAAUCUACUUUUUCGUGGGGGAUAACGUAGGGAAACUUACGCUAAUACCGCAUACGACCUACGGGUGAAAGCAGGGGAUCUUCGUACCUUGCGCGAUUGAAUGAGCCGAUGUCGGAUUAGCUAGUUGGCGGGGUAAAGGCCCACCAAGGCGACGAUCCGUAGCUGGUCUGAGAGGAUGAUCAGCCACACUGGAACUGAGACACGGUCCAGACUCCUACGGGAGGCAGCAGUGGGGAAUAUUGGACAGUGGGCGCAAGCCUGAUCCAGCCAUACCGCGUGGGUGAAGAAGGCCUUCGGGUUGUAAAGCCCUUUUGUUGGGAAAGAAAAGCAGCAGGUUAAUACCCCGCUGUUCUGACGGUACCCAAAGAAUAAGCACCGGCUAACUUCGUG